GACGUAGGGCGCGAGCGUUGUCCGGAUUUAUUGGGCGUAAAGAGCUCGUAGGCGGUUUGUCGCGUCUGCCGUGAAAGUCCGGGGGCUCAACUCCGGAUCUGCGGUGGGUACGGGCAGACUAGAGUGAUGUAGGGGGAGACUGGAAUUCCUGGUGUAGCGGUGAAAUGCGCAGAUAUCAGGAGGAACACCGAUGGCGAAGGCAGGUCUCUGGGCAUUAACUGACGCUGAGGAGCGAAAAGCAUGGG
rnacentral:rRNA from 1 species